AAGUCGUAACAAGGUUUCCGUAGGUGAACCUGCGGAAGGAUCAUUAACACUCAUCUAUGCUUAAUAUAGGCUUCGGCUCAUAUUUGGUAUAUUUGAUUUUCACAUAACCGUGCUCCUUUUUCUUUUUCACACCUUUAACCCGUUUUUUAAUUUUUUAUUUUUCGCUUCAUACGCAUUUGUGUAUGUAGGCAAAUUCUUAAUAUAUACGUUCACAUUCAUUUGUGUCGUGUAUGCACACAACUCUUAACAAUGGAUAUCUCGGCUCUC
rnacentral:misc_RNA from 1 species